GCACAUGUCAGGUAACUUAUGUGCCUUUGCAGGAAGCAACGUCCUAUGGAAGAAAAUUCUACCACUAUCUUUAUUCUAGUUACUAGGAAGUUUGCGGCGCGGCGCACGCCGCGCCCGUGCUGUCUACGGUGUUGUGAGUGUAGUUUGUGUUUGACAGCAGUUCAGUUAUAUGCAUGUUGGUGGUUUGUUGAAUAGUUUGAGAAGGGAAGCUAGAUGGAUCUGUUUGAGAAGAGAAGGGAAGCUUAAAUCAGUAUAAUGAAAGAUGCUUAAAUAGACGCUAAGUAAAAAAAAGGUAGGCUAGCUGCUAGCGUCAUGUGUCUGGAUCGCGGGGGCUUUGGUCGACUGGACCCGCCGACCGACAGAUCUACACGAACAGUUCCCUUUUCACACUUCACUUGCCCAGCUCACGGCAUCCUCUCUUAGCACUUCCCAAAGUCGUUCAGCAGCCCCCGGCGGCGGCGUGGCAGUGAUUUCAUCUACGCCCGCAUCAAUUUCGGUUCCCGGAAGAGCCGAGGCCACCGAUGAUGUCUCAAUCUCGGCGCCACCAUCUUCGGCCGCAUCGGGGCAUGGUGACACGCGCCCACGCAUCUCCUUGGAGACCCCUCGUUGACUCCAGACAAAAAGAACGAAAACGCAGACGACGCAGUGGUGCCAAGCCAUAGGAUUUUUCUUCUGAUCAAGAUCUAUCUCAUUGGAGCACCGAUUUUGUCAGUAAGCCUCUAGGUAAGAAGAGGUAGAAAGGAGGUGCUGAGUGGCAAGCGAUGGCAACGGAUAAGAAGGCAUGGAAGUUGAUUUAAGCUGGUAGACUGUAGACAAAGAGCAAUGGAAGAGAAAUUGAGGUGAUGUGCUACCAGCUGUCUACAGGCAAUGUCAUCAAGCAUCAAGGCAACAUCAUCAUGCUAUAAGAAAUUAUGGAUUCUUUCCGACCGUAGCACAAACCUCAUCCUAUGGAAUCAGAUGCGCAUGCUCAGGAAAGGCAAAGUGUACGUACC